GGGAUGGGGUCUGCGAAGAGGCCUUCAGCACGCCACGCCCGAGCCAGCAAGCCCCUUCCUGGCAGCUCGGCCGGCAGAAAGUCUGCUGUUGGUGCCCGCCUGAUGAAGGAUUUGGACCAGAAGGAUCCUGCCCUUCCUGUGGGAUAAAACGGACCUGUGAGGAUGCCGCCGGGGGCUGCUCCCUGCACUGUGGGGGGGCCGUGUUUGUCCACCCGCCUCCUGAAUUAGCUGUGCCCCCAAAGUCCUGCUGUCCCCACAGGCUCCAUUUCCAGAGAUCUCUCCGGGGCAGACCCUGCCUGUCCGUCCUGCUGCUGUCCUAUUAGAAAUGUUGGAUGGGCAAGGCAAAGACUUGGAAGGAAGAAGUGUAUUAUACUCCGGGUCCCAGAGAGGGCGCUAAGGUGUGCGCGGGGGCCACAGAGGAGCAUAGCCAGGGACCCCACAGAACAGGUGGGGAGCAGAGAGAGAAAGGACCUGUGGGCGGAGCCUUUCCCGGGGUCAAGGGUUAGGUUGUUCCAAAGCAAGCCAAGCAAGCAGGAAAAAGCAGGAAGCGAAGUCCCGGGCUGACCCGGUUAUCGAGCUCCAGCUGCUUUUGAGUGUGAGCUCAGAUCAGGACAGUGAGACAGGCGUUAAACGCUGGAGCAAGAACUCACGACGGAGGAUAUGUUUUUCCUUUCGGUUCUAUUGAGGCAUAAUUGGACAUUCGGCACUGGGAAGGUUUAAGGUGUGCCGCAUGACGAUGUGACGUACACACAUCAUGAAAUGAUGACCACAGCACAUCUAGUGACAUCCAUCAUCGCAUGUGGAUGAAAAACAGGAAUAGAAACACAUUUUUUCCUGUGAUGAGAACUCAGGAUUCACUCUCCUGACAAGUUUCAUAUAUAACCCGCAGCAGAGUUCAUUCUAUUUACCAUGUUGUACAUUACAUCCCUAGUACUUCUUUA